ACGUCCCUCCCCACCAUGUAUCAGAAGCAUUUAAUGUCACAUAAUGGUAGCUAGCUAGCUUUUUUAAAAGGGUCAUUAGCUCCUUCUUCUGCUGUUGUGCUCUUGUUUUUUAGUGUGGAAGAAUCUGUAAAGCUCAGGAGGGAUAGCGCCAUGGAUGGUCUUCUUCUCUCCCUCCAUUCUUGAUCCUCUCUCGCGCUAUCCAUCCUGAGUUUCAUGGCUUCUAUCCACACACACACUCACACAAUCUCAUCCACUUUUCAGGACAAAAGGCAACACCCCAAAAACAAUUUGUUCCUCUUAAUCACCAUGCACUACUCAAGUGGAAGGGUGCCCAAAUGAUGAAGCAAGUUGAAGAAAUUGUACAAGUCAAGUGUGUUAAGCCUUGUGUUAAUUAUCUAGUAUCUUUCUUCUAGCUAUCUACUUCAAAGUUUUCUCCUUUUAAUGUGUAUUUUAAAUAGUUGACAACCUAAAUUUUGGUGCCUCUUUAUGUCAAACACCAACCAUAUAUAUAAGUUCAGGUAAUAAGCAAACACGUAAGAUCAAAAGAAUGGUUCUCUUUAUAAACCUUCAACUCUUUGCUAACUAGCUUCUCCUUCCACCUUGUAAUCAUGAUUCAUAAUACAACGGGGUUUGGAUUUCCUUUUU